rnacentral:rRNA from 1 species
AACGAACGCUGGCGGCAUGCCUAACACAUGCAAGUCGAACGAGACCAUCGGGUCUAGUGGCGCACGUGUGCGUAACGCGUGGGAACCUGCCCUUAGGUUCGGAAUAACUCCCCGAAAGGGGUGCUAAUACCGGAUAAUGUCUUCGGACCAAAGAUUUAUCGCCUUUGUGUGGGCCCGCGUUGGAUUAGCUAGUUGGUAGGGUAAAAGCCUACCAAGGCGACGAUCCAUAGCUGGUCUGGGAGGAUGCUCAGCCACACUGGGACUGAGACACGGCCCAGACUCCUACGGGAGGCAGCAGUGGGGAAUAUUGGACAAUGGGCGACAGCCUGAUCCAGCCAUGCCGCGUGAGUGAUGAAGGCCUUAGGGUUGUAAAGCUCUUUUACCCGGGAUGAUAAUGACAGUACCGGGAGAAUAAGCUCCGGCUAACUCCGUG